UACGUAGGGGCCGAGCGUUGUCCGGAGUUACUGGGCGUAAAGCGCGCGCAGGCGGCUCGUCAAGCCUGACGUGAAAGCCCCCGGCUCAACCGGGGAGGGUCGUCGGGGACUGGCGAGCUUGAGGUCGGCAGGGGUUGGUGGAAUUCCCGGUGUAGUGGUGAAAUGCGUAGAGAUCGGGAGGAACACCCGUGGCGAAGGCGGCCAACUGGGCCGGACCUGACGCUGAGGCGCGAAGGCGUGGGGAGCGAACCGG
rnacentral:rRNA from 1 species